AGCUUCCUGCGUCCCUGGGCGCUGCCCGCGCCCUACGUUGCAAGCCACUGAGCCCCCUCCCCCUGCCUAGCGGUGCUGCUCGCCAUGCAGCCUGGGCAGAGGUGCUGGGGUGCGGGAGCCCCCCCCGGGUUUGAAGUGGUUCCCAUCAUUUACAGGGUUUAUAGUUUUGUUUAAUGGCUUUCAGCCCCAUGCAGUCAGAGCAGCGCUCUCAGUGUUGGGGCUGCCACUUGGCUGGGCUUUCCCAGGAUGUGCCUGUUUGAGACAGCUGUCCUGGGCUAGCUGUAAGGGUCCCCAGGGCACGCGGCCGGCCGUCUGUCCCAGGAUAGUCAUAAGCGGGCGCAGUCGGUCCAGGGAGGUCCAUAAGGGUACUCACCACGCACGGGCAGCGGCCCAGUUUGAUGGGCUCAGGCUUAUCGGUGUUGUCCCAUUUCUUUGUACCUUAGUGGCGGGAGCCCUACUCAGUGGCUAGGGAUCAGUGCCCUGUAACAGGAAUCUCACCCCUUUAUAUCCCAGCCAACCUCCAUGUCAAGCGAGUAGGACCGGGAAGCAAAAAGCAGGCCUAUGCCUCUCCAUCCAGCUGGAUUUCAAGUUUGAGAAGAAUGGCAGCAUCUCAUUUCUCUUCCAAAUACUUCAGAGCCUUGUCAACCCACACAAUCUUGGAUCCUUAUUGCUAGCAGCUUUCCAGUCACUGGAUUAGGCAAGUGGAUUUUACAAUAUUACACAUUUGUGCUAUAUGAUAAAAAUAUGGACAUGUAGCUAAAGUAAGUAUCCACUGAUGUCAAGAAGUUUUUCUUGUAUGCUUGUACACUAUUGAAAAAUGGGAAAGCAAUACAUGAAUGUAGUAAAAUGAUUAACAGGCUCCGCUAGAUUUUUCAGUACAGCACAUUUAACAAGAGAGAGUGCAGGGACUGAAUAAGAGAGGUAACACUACCUGUAUGGAAACAACAGAUAUCCUUCACUGAAGACAUUCUUGAAUUUGACAAGAAAAUGGUGAAUAAAAAUAAACAGAGCAAUUUGCAGAAAUCAUCUUUUAUUAAACUGAUUCCACCACACACAUCUGGAAAACGAUGAUCUAGAGAAUGUAAAUUCUCCUCCAGAUGUAUAAUAGUACUAAACUGUGGGAAGUCCUGUUCGAGUAUGUCCCAAUAUUACUAUUAUGGAGUGGCAUUAUGCUACAAGCAAUAAAAUGGCCAUUAACCAGGGACAGUAUUACCACUGUCAAAAACUUGUUCAGAAUUGUGAAAAAUGACAAACUCCAUUGCAGAACUUCAGAGUUUGUGGAAAUUAUGAACUUCACAAUUAAAGCUAAACUAUGGGGCAACUGCAAUAAGCAUUUUGCAUGUCAGUAACAGGAAUCUAAGAAUAUAGUAGCUAACAAGGUUGUGGAUUUAGAUAUUCCAGAGCCUCCCACUCAAGGUAAGACUUGGAAUAAAAAUCCACAUUCAACACCCAAGAAGCAAGGCAAAUAUUUUUCAGGAUCCUCAAGAGCAGCUUCAAAAACCCAAACCAUACUUUCUUAAGCUUACUUCUGUCGUGUAACAAGCAAAAGAAAGUCCCUAAUAACAAAUGUAUUUAUUUCUAACACAAUUAAAAUUUGAUAAAUAAAGCCUUUUUUCUGUUCAAAAGUUGUCUAAGAAUAAACAAGCAUUGUUACAGGCUUCCUAAUUUCUAGCUGACCACACAAUUUGUAAAAACAUUAGAUGGAUUUACAAAUAUUGAA